UACGUAGGGGGCUAGCGUUGUCCGGAACCAUUGGGCGUAAAGAGCGUGUAGGCGGUCCGGUAAGUCCGCUGUGAAAGUCGGGGGCUCAACCCUCGAAUGCCGGUGGAUACUGUCGGGCUAGAGUGCGGAAGAGGCGAGUGGAAUUCCUGGUGUAGCGGUGAAAUGCGCAGAUAUCAGGAGGAACACCUAUUGCGAAGGCAGCUCGCUGGGACGUAACUGACGCUGAGACGCGAAAGCGUGGGGAGCAAACAGG
rnacentral:rRNA from 1 species